GGGAAGAGAAAAGGACGGUACCCCAGGAAUAAGUCCCGGCUAACUACGUGCCAGCAGCCGCGGUAAAACGUAGGGGACAAGCGUUAUCCGGAUUCACUGGGCGUAAAGAGCGUUGAGGCGGUUCCGUAAGUUGGGCGUGAAAGCUCCGGGCUUAACUCGGAGAUGUCGUUCAAUACUGCGGGGCUUGAGGACAGCAGAGGAAGGUGGAAUUCCCGGUGUAGUGGUGAAAUGCGUAGAUAUCGGGAGGAACACCCGUGGCGAAGGCGGCCUUCUGGGCUGUUCCUGACGCUGAAGGCGAAAGCUAGGGGAGCGAACGGGAUUAGAUACCCCGGUAGUCCUAGCUGUAAACGAUGGAUGCUGGGUGUGGGGGGUGUAAAUUCCCUCUGUGCCGAAGCAAACGCGUUAAGCAUCCCGCCUGGGGACUACGGCCGCAAGGCUAAAACUCAAACGAAUUGACGGGGGCCCGCACAAGCAGCGGAGCGUGUGGUUUAAUUCGAUGCUACACGAAGAACCUUACCUGGGUUUGACAUGCACGUGGUAGGGAACCGAAAGGGGACCGACCUUCGGGAGCGUGCACAGGUGCUGCAUGGCUGUCGUCAGCUCGUGCCGUGAGGUGUCGGGUUAAGUCCCGUAACGAGCGCAACCCUUGCCCUUAGUUACAAGUGUCUAAGGGGACUGCCCGGGACAACUGGGAGGAAGGUGGGGAUGACGUCAAGUCAGCAUGGCCUUUAUAUCCAGGGCUACACACACGCUACAAUGGCCGGUACAAUAGGUUGCGAAGUCGUGAGGCGGAGCCAAUCCUCAAAGCCGGUCUCAGUUCGAAUUGCAGUCUGCAACUCGACUGCAUGAAGCUGGAGUUGCUAGUAAUCGCAGGUCAGCUAUACUGCGGCGAAUACGUUCCCGGGCAUUGUACACACCGCCCGUCACGUCAUGGAAGCUGGCAACGCCUGAAGCCGGUGAGCUAAACCCGAAAGGGAGGCAGCCGUCGAGGGUGG
rnacentral:rRNA from 1 species